rnacentral:rRNA from 1 species
UACGUAGGUGGCAAGCGUUAUCCGGAUUUAUUGGGUGUAAAGGGCGUGUAGGCGGGAGCGCAAGUCAGAUGUGAAAACUCAGGGCUCAACCCUGAGCCUGCAUUUGAGACUGUUGAUCUUGAGUACUGGAGAGGCAGACGGAAUUCCUAGUGUAGCGGUGAAAUGCGUAGAUAUUAGGAGGAACACCAGUGGCGAAGGCGGUCUGCUGGACAGCAACUGACGGUGAGGCGCGAAAGCGUGGGGAGCAAACAGG